rnacentral:lncRNA from 1 species
UUCUAAGUGAAUUCCCUCGGUAUGAUAAUUUGUUCAUCAGUUUGUUCCCCGUUUCUUCUCUAGCCUGAGCCUGACACACUAUUCUAGCUAGACAUGGGUGUGGCUCGUAACACCUGAUGACCAAACGGAUCUACGACACCAUCGAAUCUCAAACUUUAACUACCAAAACUAUUGUUUUUCAUCCUCUAGUCCCUUUUAGAAUUACUAAACGUCCUUUUUUGGGCCGAGAUUUCCAGGAACGCUUUCUCGGGGUUUGUGUGCAUGUAUUUCAAACCAUACAGACCUAAAAAUUAGAAGUCAUUCCAUCUUUAUUCCCGUAGAGCCUUCCAGCAGUUCCUAAACCGCUCCAGUCGGAGCAUGUUAUCAUUCUUGUUUGUUCUGAGUGAAUUCCCUCGGUAUGAUAAUUCUAUCAUCAGUUUGUUCCCCGUUUCUUCUCUAGCCUGAGCCUGGCAAACUAUUCUAGCUAGACAUGGGUGUGGCUCGUAACACCUGAUGACCAAACGGAUCUACGACACCAUCGAAUCUCAAACUUUAACUACCAAAACUAUUGUUUUUCAUUCUAUAGUCCCUUCUAGAAUUUCUAAACGUCCUUUUUUGGGCCGAGAUUUCCAGGAAUGCUUUCUCGGGGUUUGUGUGCAAGUAUUUCAAAUCAUACGGACCUAAAAAUUAGAAGUCAUUCCAUCUUUAUUCCCCUAGAGCCUUCCAGUAGUUCCUAAACCGCUCCAGUCGGAGCACGUUAUCAUUCUUGUUAGUUCAUAGUGAAUUCCCUCGGUAUGAUAAUUCUUUCAUCAGUUUGUUCCCCGUUUCUUCUCUAGCCUGAGCCUGGCACAGUAUUCUAGCUAGACAUGGGUGUGGUCGUAACACCUGAUGACUAAAUGGAUCGACGGCACCAUCGAAUCUCAAACUUUAACUGCCAAAACUAUUGUUUUUCAUCCUGUAAUCCCAUUUAGAAUUACUAAACGUCCUUUUUUGGGCCGAGAUUUAGAGGAACGCUUUGUUGGGGUUUGUGUGCAAGUAUUUCAAACCAUACGGACCUAAAAAUUAGAACUCAUUCCAUAUUUAUUCCCCUUGAGCCUUCCAGCAGUUCCUAAACCGCUCUAGUCGGAGCACGUUAUCAUUCUUGUUAGUUCUAAGAGAAUUCCCUCGGUAUGAUAAUUCUUUUAUCAGUUUGUUCCCCGUUUCUUCUCUAGACUGGGCCCGACACACUAUUCUAGCUAGACAUGGGUGUGGCUCGUAACACCUGAUGACCAAACGGAUCUACGGCACCAUCGAAUCUCAAACUUCAACUGCCAAAACUAUUGUUUUUCAUCCUGUAGUCCCUUUUAGAAUUACUAAACGUCCUUUUUUGGGCCGAGAUUUCCAGGAACGCUUUCUCGGGGUUUGUGUGCAAGUAUUUCAAACCAUACGGACCUAAAAAUUAGAAGUCAUUCCAUCUUUAUUCCCGUAGAGCCAUCCAGCAGUUCCUAAACCGCUCCAGUCGGAGCACGUUAUCAUUCUUGUUAGUUCUGAGUGAAUUCCCUCGGUAUGAUAAUUCUUUCAUCAGUUUGUUCCCCGUUUCUUCUCUAGCCUGAGCCUGACAAACUAUUAUAGCUAGACAUGGGUGUGGCUCGUAACACCUGAUGACCAAACGGAUCUAUGGCACCAUCGAAUCUCAAACUUUAACUGCCAAAACUAUUGUUUUUCAUCCUGUAGUCCCUUUUAGAAUUACUAAACGCCCUUCUUUGGGACGAGAUUUCCAGGAACGCUUUCUCGGGGUUUGUGUGAAAGUAAUUCAAACCAUACGGACCUAAAAAUUAGAAGUCAUUCCAUCUUUAUUCCCGUGGAGCCUUCCAGUAGUUCCUAAACCGCUCCAGUCGGAGCACGUUAUCAUUCUUGUUAGUUCUGAGUGAAUUCCCUCGGUAUGAUAAUUCUUUCAUCAGUUUGUUCCCUGUUUCUUCUCUAGCCUGAGCCUGGCACACUAUUCUAGCUAGACAUGGGUGUGGCUCGUAACACCUGAUGACUAAACUGAUCAAUGACACCAUCGAAUCUCAAACUUUAACUGCCAAAACUAUUGUUUUUCAUCCUGUAGUCCCAUUUAGAAUUACUAAACGUCCUUUUUUGGGCCGAGAUUUCCAGGAACGCUUACUCGGGGUUUGUGUGCAAGUAUUUCAAACCAUACUGACCUAAAAAUUAGAAGUCAAUCCAUCUUUAUUCCCCUAGAGCCUUCCAGCAGUUCCUAAACCGCUCCAGUCGGAGCACGUUAUCAUUCUUGUUAGUUCUGAGUGAAUUCCCUCGGUAUGAUAAUUCUUUCAUCAGUUUGUUCCUUGUUUCUUCUCUAGCCUGAACCUGACACACUAUUCUAGCUAGACAUGGGUGUGGCUCGUAACACCUGAUGACCAAACGGAUCUACGGCACCAUCGAAUCUCAAACUUUAACUGCCAAAACUAUUAUUUUUAAUCCUCUAGUCCCAUUUAGAAUUACUAAACGUCCUUUUUUGGGCCGAGAUUUAGAGGAACGCUUUCAUGCGGUUUGUGUGCAAGUAUUUCAAACCAUACGGACCUAAAAAUUAGAAGUCAUUCCAUCUUUAUUCCCCUAGAGCCUUCCAGCAGUUCCUAAACCGCUCCAGUCGGAGCAUGUUAUCAUUCUUGUUAGUUCUGAGUGAAUUCCCUCGGUAUGAUAAUUCUUUCAUCAGUUUGUGGCCCGUUUCUUCUCUAGCCUGAGCCUGACACACUAUUCUAGCUAGACGUGGGUGUGGCUCGUAACACCUGAUGACCAAACGGAUCUACGGCACCAUCGAAUCUCAAACUUUAAGUGCCAAAACUAUUAUUUUUAAUCCUGUAGUCCCAUUUAGAAUUACAAAAAUGUCCUUUUUUGGGCUGAGAUUUCCAGGAACGCUUUCGUGCGGUUUGUGUGCAAGUAUUUCAAACCAUACAGACCAAAAAAUUAGAAGUCAUUCCAUCUUUAUUCCCUU